UAACCAUAAACGAUGCCGACUAGAGAUUGGAGGUCGUCAGUUUGAACGACUCCUUCAGCACCUU
rnacentral:rRNA from 1 species